UACGAAGGGGGGCUAGCGUUGCUCGGAAUCACUGGGCGUAAAGGGUGCGUAGGCGGGUCUUUAAGUCAGGGGUGAAAUCCUGGAGCUCAACUCCAGAACUGCCUUCGAUACUGGCGAUCUCGAGUUCGGGAGAGGUGAGUGGAACUGCGAGUGUAGAGGUGAAAUUCGUAGAUAUUCGCAAGAACACCAGUGGCGAAGGCGGCUCACUGGCUCAUUACUGACGCUCAGGCGCGACAGCGUGGGGAGUCAAACAGG
rnacentral:rRNA from 1 species